rfam:Human immunodeficiency virus 2 isolate BEN, complete genome.
GGCCCGGCGGAAAGAAAAAGUACAGGUUAAAACAUAUUGUGUGGGCAGCGAAUGAAUUGGAUAAAUUCGGAUUGGCAGAGAGCC